UACGGGAGGCAGCAGUGGGGAAUAUUGCACAAUGGGCGCAAGCCUGAUGCAGCCAUGCCGCGUGUAUGAAAAGGCCUUCGGGUUGUAAAGUACUUUCAGUCGUGAGGAAGGUGUUAAGGUUAAUAACCUUAGCAAUUGACGUUAGCGACAGAAGAAGCACCGGCUAACUCCGUGCCAGCAGCCGCGGUAAUACGGAGGGUGCGAGCGUUAAUCGGAAUUACUGGGCGUAAAGGGCACGCAGGCGGUUAAUUAAGUUGGAUGUGAAAUCCCCGGGCUUAACCUGGGAAUGGCAUUCAAGACUGGUUAGCUAGAGUCUUGUAGAGGGGGUAGAAUUCCAUGUGUAGCGGUGAAAUGCGUAGAGAUGUGGAGGAAUACCGGUGGCGAAGGCGGCCCCCUGGGACAAAGACUGACGCUCAUGUGCGAAAGCGUGGGGAGCAAACAGGGAUUAGAUACCC
rnacentral:rRNA from 1 species